GUGAAAUUGUUGAAAGGGAAGCGCUUGCAACCAGACCUGCCUGCAGUUGCUCAUCCGGGCUUUUGCCCGGUGCACUCUUCUGCUGUCAGGCCAGCAUCAGUUCGGGCGGUCGGAUAAAGGCUUCGGGAAUGUAGCUCCUCUCGAGGAGUGUUAUAGCCCGUUGCGAAAUGCGGCCAGCCUGAACUGAGGUCCGCGCUUCGGCUAGGAUGCUGGCGUAAUGGUUGUAAGCGGCCCGUCUUGAAACACGGACCAAGGAGUCUAACAUCUGUGCGAGUGUUUGGGUGUCAAACCCGUACGCGUAAUGAAAGUGAACGGAGGCGGGAACCCCUCGGGGUGCACCGUCGACCGAUCCUGAUGUCUUCGGAUGGAUUUGAGUAAGAGCAUAGCUGUUGGGACCCGAAAGAUGGUGAACUAUGCCUGAAUAGGGUGAGGCCAGAGGAAACUCUGGUGGAGGCUCGCAGCGGUUCUGACGUGCAAAUCGAUCGUCAAAUUUGGGCAUAGGGGCGAAAGACUAAUCGAACUAUCUAGUAGCUGGUUCCUGCCGAAGUUUCCCUCAGGAUAGCAGUAACGUUUUCAGUUUUAUGAGGUAAAGCGAAUGAUUAGAGGCCUGGGGGUUGAAACAACCUUCACCUAUUCUCAAACUUUAAAUAUGUAAGAAGUCCUUGUUGCUUAGUUGAACGUGGACAUUUGAAUGUAUCGUUACUAGUGGGCCAUUUUUGGU
rnacentral:rRNA from 1 species